GACGAACGCUGGCGGCGUGCCUAAUACAUGCAAGUAGAACGCUGAAGGAGGAGCUUGCUUCUCUGGAUGAGUUGCGAACGGGUGAGUAACGCGUAGGUAACCUGCCUGGUAGCGGGGGAUAACUAUUGGAAACGAUAGCUAAUACCGCAUAAGAGUAGAUGUCGCAUGACAUUUGCUUAAAAGGUGCAAUUGCAUCACUACCAGAUGGACCUGCGUUGUAUUAGCUAGUUGGUGAGGUAACGGCUCACCAAGGCAACGAUACAUAGCCGACCUGAGAGGGGGAUCGGCCACACUGGGACUGAGACACGGCCCAGACUCCUACGGGAGGCAGCAGUAGGGAUUCUUCGGCAAUGGACGGAAGUCUGACCGAGCAACGCCGCGUGAGUGAAGAAGGUUUUCGGAUCGUAAAGCUCUGUUGUAAGAGAAGAACGAGUGUGAGAGUGGAAAGUUCACACUGUGACGGUAUCUUACCAGAAAGGGACGGCUAACUACGUG
rnacentral:rRNA from 1 species